CUAGCAACAGAUUUUGAAAACUUACCAUUUACACCCAAAUCUUUCGACUUUCUCUAUCUAAAAACGCGCAAAACACACUGAGUGCGUGCGAUUGAUCGAUUUCUCCCCUGAGCUACCGCGAUUCCCGCAAUGGAAGAUCGCAAUAGGCCUGUCACAGGCUAUCCCGCCCCCAAUUCGCACCCCAACGGCUACUCAGCCGCCGCCGCUCCACCGCCGCCCGGCACCGCUUAUCCUUACGCCUCCGCAGCUCCUCCCUACCCCUACGCUUACCAGCAGCAGAACUACCAGUACGACGCCGACUCGAUCCGCCGCGCUACCUGCCUCCGCCGCAUCUUCGCCUUCGUGAUCGGCCUCGUCGUCAUCUUCGGCACCGUCACCUUCAUAGUCUGGCUCGUUCUCCGCCCCCAACUCCCCGAGUUCCGAGUCGACUCGUUCUCCAUCUCCAAUUUCACGCUCGGCAACGACUCGCUCACCUUCACCUCUGAAAUCAAGCUGACCGCCAGAAACCCUAACAAAAAGAUGAAGCUCGGCUACGAUCACAUCGACACCGCGAUUUACUACCAAUCCUACUCCCUCUCCGAGACUACCGUCGCUCCGUUCUACCAGGGCACGAAGAACGAGACCUCUCUGACGGCGAGAUUCGCCGCCGCCGGGAGAUUUCUGGAUAAGGCGGCGGUGGAUGGGAUUCGCGGCGAGAGGGGGAAGAAUGGCAAUGUGAAUUUCAAUGUGAGGAUGAUUUCUAGGGUUAAAUUUGAGGCGAAGGCGUGGAGAACUCGGAGGAGGUUUCUCAAGGUUUUCUGCGGGGAUCUGGUCCUUGGACUAACGGCCACCGGGAGAUCCGGGGUGUUAAGCGGCGGACCAAGGCAGUGCCGCGUCGGGAUUUGAGCUUUCUCAGUAGUUGGAACUUGGAAGAUAUCCAAAACCAAGCAGGCAUGACUUUAUAUAUUCUUUACUUGUGCAUAGGGCUGUCCAAUCUUUCUGAAACUGAUACGUGAUAAUACCCGACCCGAUCCCAUCUACCGGGUACCUUAUAUCC